GACGAACCGUGCGAACGUUGUUCGGAAUCACUGGGCUUAAAGGGCGCGUAGGCGGGCGAGCAAGUCCGGGGUGAAAUCUUUCGGCUUAACCGGAAAAGUGCCUUGGAUACUGCUCGUCUGGAGGGAGGUAGGGGCAUGUGGAACUUCCGGUGGAGCGGUGAAAUGCGUUGAGAUCGGAAGGAACGCCCGUGGCGAAAGCGGGCUCCUGGACCCCACCUGACGCUGAGACGCGAAAGCCAGGGGAGCGAACGGG
rnacentral:rRNA from 1 species